AUUGAACGCUGGCGGCAGGCCUAACACAUGCAAGUCGAGCGAGCGGCGGACGGGUGAGUAAUGUAUGGGGACUGCCCGAUAGAGGGGGAUAACUACUGGAAACGGUAGCUAAUCACGCAUACUAUCGGAUAACCCAUAUGGGAUUAGCUAGUAGGUGAGGUUAUGGCUCACGUAGGCGACGAUCCCUCGCUGGUCUGAGAGGAUGAUCAGCCACACUGGGACUGAGCACCGGUCCAGACUCCUCCGGAUGCAGCAGUGGGGAAUAUUGCACAAUGGGCGCAAGCCUGAUGCAGCCAUGCCGCGUGUAUGAAGAAGGCCCUAGGGUUGUAAAGUACUUUCAGUCGGGAGGCGUUACCGACAGAAGAAGCACCGGCUAACUCCGUGCCAGCAGCCGCGGUAAUAC
rnacentral:rRNA from 1 species